UAUAUAUUCAAAAUCAUUCUUUGAUCUGGCUUGUAUUUAUACAUUAGGAAUGUGUCAAAUUUUUUUUCUUCAAUUAAUGUAAAUAAUGUUCCGGUGCAUUUUCACUGUCCAAGUAAAGAUUAAAAUUGAUUGAAAUUAAUACAAUUGGUACAAUUUAUCAUCAUUUGUCGACAUAUAUUUUUUAAUGUAAGUGUUUGGCCAAUCAGUAUUGGAUGGCAAUGUGAGUGAAGCGGCGACCACCACCACCACCAUCACCACUGCUACCGAAAAUAUCACCGAUAUAAUUGAACAACAACAGCAACAAAAUCAUUAUAAUCAAAAUAUUGUUGUGACAUCGGAUUCUUCGUCAUCAUCAUCAUCAUUUGAUAAUCAUAUAAAUAAUAAUAAUAUCAAAACACAAGACCAAAGUUUUCAUCACAAUAAUCAUAAUCAUAAUCAGCAACGAAACCACAACAACAACAACGACAACAAAAAGAUCAUUCAAGUCUAGUCAGCACUACCACCACAAGUUUUACAAAUAAUAAUAAUAAUAUGAUGAUGAUGAUGAUGAUGUUGGAAAUGAUUUGGCUGUAAAUGUAAUAGCAUCAUCAUCAUCAUCAUCCAUAACAUCAUCAACAACAACAACAACAACAACAACAACUGCAGCA